UCCGACGAACGGAAACGUGAAACUCUGAGUAACAGUUUUGUGAUGUUUUUGAAGCUUUAAUAAGAAAGCAUGUUACUCUACCUUCGCUAUUCGAGAACUACUUUUUCCACCUUGUUUUGCAUUAUGUGCUUAUUCACACUUGUUUAUAUAUAUAUAUAUAUAUG